rnacentral:rRNA from 1 species
UACGUAGGGGGCUAGCGUUGUCCGGAUUUAUUGGGCGUAAAGCGCGUGUAGGCGGCCAGGUAGGUCCGCUGUGAAAACCCGAGGCUCAACCUCGGGACGUCGGCGGAAACCAUUUGGCUAGAGUCCGGAAGAGGAGAGUGGAAUUCCCGGUGUAGCGGUGAAAUGCGCAGAUAUCGGGAAGAACACCCGUGGCGAAGGCGGCUCUCUGGGACGGUACUGACGCUGAGACGCGAAAGCGUGGGGAGCGAACAGG